CGGCGCAGGGGAGAGUAACGUGUGUAUACCUGCCCCGAGGUCCGGGAUAGCCCAUCGAAAGGAGGGGUAAUACCGGAUAACAUCUACUGAUCAAAGGUGUGAUUCCGACUCGGGAUGGGUCCGCGUCCUAUUUUCUUGUUGGGGGGGUAAUGGCCUACCUCGGCGACCAUGGGUAGUGGGCGUGAGCGCGUGGCCCGCCUCACUGGGACUGAGACACUGCCCAUACACCUACUGCUGGCUGCCCUCCAGAAUCUUCGGCAAUGGGCGCAAGCCUGACCGAGCGACGCCGCGUGCGGGAUGAAGGCCUUCGGGUUGUAAACCGCUGUCUUAGGGGAGGAAGGGUCCGUGAAGAGCGAAACUUGACCUAUCCUCACAGGAACUGCGGGCUAAAUUCGUGCCAGCAGCCGCGGUAAGACUAACCGCAUGAACGUUAUUCGGAAUCACUGGGCUUAAACGGUGCGUUAGCGGCCGUUCAACUCCGGUGUGAAAGCCCUCCGCUUAACUGAUGAAUUGCGCCCGAUACUGUUCUGCUUGAGGGGAGACAGAGGUGAGCGGAACUUGCGGCUGGAGCGGUGAAAUGCGUUGAUAUCGCAAGGAACACCAGUAGCGAAAGCGGCUCACUGGGUCUCUUCUGACGCUGAGGCACGAAAGCUAGGGUAGCGAAGAGGAUUAGACACCCUCGUAGUCCUAGCUGUAAACGCUGAGCACUGGAUUGGGGGGUCCUCCAUAGCCUUCCGGUCGUAGCGAAAGUGUUAAGUGCUCCGCCUGGGGAGUAUGGUCGCAAGGCUGAAACUCAAAGGAAUUGAUGGGGGCUCACACUAGCGGUGGAGGAUGUGGCUUAAUUCGAGGCUACGCGAAGAACUUUAUCCUGGAUUUGACAUGUUUGGGAAUCCCCUGGAAACAGGGGAGUGCCCCUCGGGGAGCCCUUGCACAGGUGCUGCAUGGCCGUCGUCAGCUCGUGUCGUGAGAUGUCGGGUUAAGUCCCUUAACGAGCGAAACCCUUGUCGUUAGUUGCCAGCGGGUCAUGCCGGGGACUCUAACGAGACAGCCGGUGUUAAACCGGAGGAAGGUGGGGAUGACGUCAAGUCCUCAUGGCCUUUAUGUCCAGGGCUGCACACGUCCUACAAUGGUGCGUACAAAGGGAAGCAAACUCGCGAGAGUAAGCAAAUCCCAAAAAGCGCGCCCCAGUUCGAAUUGCAGGGUGCAACUCGCGUGCAUGAAGCUGGAAUCGCUAGUAAUCGCGGGUCAGCAUACCGCGGUGAAUGUGUUCCUGAGCCUUGUACACACCGCCCGUCAAGCCACGAAAGUGGGGGCCCGGCGAAGUCGCCGAGCUAACCCGUAAGGGA
rnacentral:rRNA from 1 species